GUGAAUCAUCAAAUUUUUGAACGCAAAUUGCACUCUCCGCGGAUAUUAUGCCUGUUUGAGGUUCAGCCUAUAAAAAAUCGACAUCGUUGCUGUUUCGCGUUGGCGUUCGUCUUAAGUUGGGUCAUCUUAAAUCUUUUGGUUUUAAGCGACUUAAAAUUUUCCUUUUUGUUCCAUGAACUUUUCUAAGAUUUAUUUCUUUACACUGGUAAGGUAUGGAUUUUUAUUAGACUUGACCAUCAUAGCGGAUCAC
rnacentral:misc_RNA from 1 species